rnacentral:rRNA from 1 species
UACGUAGGUGGCAAGCGUUGUCCGGAUUUACUGGGCGUAAAGGGCGUGCAGGCGGUUUGUUAAGUGCAGGGUGAAAGACCCCGGCUCAACUGGGGGGUGUCGUGCGAUACGGUCGGACUGGAGGCCAGUAGGGGGAUGCGGAAUUCCGGGUGUAGUGGUGGAAUGCGUAGAGAUCCGGAGGAACACCAGCGGCGAAGGCGGCAUCCUGGACUGGUCCUGACACUCAUGAGCGAAAGCGUGGGGAGCGAUCCGG